GGGCGAUUAGCUCAGUUGGUUAGAGCAUGCGAUUCACAUUCGCAGGGUCAGAGGUUCGAAUCCUCUAUCGCCCA
rnacentral:tRNA from 1 species